AUUGAACGCUGGCGGCAGGCCUAACACAUGCAAGUCGAACGGUAACAGUAAGCCGCUUGCUGCUUCGCUAACGAGUGGCGGACGGGUGAGUAAUGUCUGGGAAGCUGCCUGAUGGAGGGGGAUAACUACUGGAAACGGUAGCUAAUACCGCAUAAUGUCGCAAGACCAAAGAGGGGGACCUUCUGGCCUCUUGCCAUCGGAUGUGCCCAGAUGGGAUUAGCUUGUUGGUGGGGUAACGGCUCACCAAGGCGACGAUCCCUAGCUGGUCUGAGAGGAUGACCAGCAACACUGGAACUGAGAAACGGUCCAGACUCCUAGGGGAGGCAGCAGUGGGGAAUAUUGCACAAUGGGCGCAAGCCUGAUGCAGACAGGCCGCGUGUAUGAAGAAGGCCUUCGGGUUGUAAAGUACUUUCAGCGGGGAGGAAGGGAGUAAAGUUAAUAACUUUGCUCAUUGACGUUACCCGCAGAAGAAGCACCGGCUAACUCCGUG
rnacentral:rRNA from 1 species